CCUACGGGAGGCUGCAGUGGGGAAUAUUGGACAAUGGGCGAAAGCCUGAUCCAGCCAUGCCGCGUGUGUGAAGAAGGCCUUCGGGUUGUAAAGCACUUUCAGUGGGGAAGAAAGCCUUGGGGCUAAUACCCUCGAGGAAGGACAUCACCCACAGAAGAAGCACCGGCUAACUCCGUGCCAGCAGCCGCGGUAAUACGGAGGGUGCGAGCGUUAAUCGGAAUUACUGGGCGGAAAGCGCGCGUAGGCGGUCUGAUAAGCCGGUUGUGAAAGCCCCGGGCUCAACCUGGGAACGGCAUCCGGAACUGUCAGGCUAGAGUGCAGGAGAGGAAGGUAGAAUUCCCGGUGUAGCGGUGAAAUGCGUAGAGAUCGGGAGGAAUACCAGUGGCGAAGGCGGCCUUCUGGACUGACACUGACGCUGAGGUGCGAAAGCGUGGGUAGCAAACAGGAUUAGAUACCCGUGUAGUC
rnacentral:rRNA from 1 species